AUAGGUGACGUCUUGUUGGAGGAAGCGUGUCACUGUCGUGGCUGGCCUUGAGGUUUCUUUCACUCAAGCUUCCCUCAGUGUGACACUGAGACCACUUCCUGCUGACUCAUGAUCAAGAUGUAGCCAGCACCAUGUCUGCCUGCGUGCCGCCGUACUCCCUGCCCUGAUGAUAAAGGGAUGCACCUCUGAACGGUAAGUUCUAACAAGAUGUGAAGAGGCAUUGCCCCACACUCCUCAACUACAGGCUGAACCUCUCCAGCCACCACAACUUCCUGACCUCGAUGGACAACUCCCUCUGAACUGUGGGUGUGAACAGCCAUUCUUCUAAGCUGCCUCUGUGAGGUAUUUUGUCACAGUGAGGCAAAUGUCACUAGUCAAUUGCAGUGAGUUUAUGGUAGAGCUGAGUCUUACCGGUAUGGCUUGAAGAUUGACAUAGGUGCUUUAUGCAGGCUAAUAAGACUGUAAAAUGGGACCGAUGACAAAGGGGACCAUUGAAAAUUAUGAGAGUUCAGCACCAGAAUGCGUGCAGUUGACUUCCUCUCCACCAACCCUCGGCUUGGCAUCCUUCAGACAUCUGCCAAAUGUUCAUCUCUCCAAAGCCGUGAUGCAAAAUGAAGUAUCUAUGCAUUUGUUAACUCUUGUGAGCUCAAGGUCAGAAAUCUAUAAUGUUUUCUUCCAGUCUCACCACAACAAACACAUGGUUGGGACUCGCUAAAUAUUGCUGCCAAAGUUAUUCUUGUCACAUGAUGUCUAUAAUUUUAAAGGACUCCAAGAGUCAUUUCUUGAGGUUAAAACUCCUGCUGUCCACCUGAACAUUCGGUCAUCUUUUCAAUUCUGUGUGCAAAGAGGCUUACAGGACAGCGUGGUGAGACUUCACAGGAGGGCUGGAAGGAGGGAGCCUCACACAAAGGAUGGUGUGAGUCGGCCUGGAGAGGACAAGGGCGCUCUCUGCGUGCUGCGUCCGCUCUCUGCGUGCUGCGUCCACUCUCUGCAUGCUGAGUCCUUGCUGGCACACUGCAGCUUGAACAAACUUUGAACGGGAACAUAGCUCAUUAAGUAACUUGCACUUUCAAGACUACCCAGACCUCACAGCUGCGGGUGGUGUGUCAGGGUGAGAGGAAGCACUGCAGGAGUCCCGGAGGGCAGGCAGAGCACAUCCGGGUCAAAUACGAGCCACUGGCUCAGAAGCAGCAGCCAAUAGAGGCACGUAACCCAUAGGGUGGACGUAACUGUUGGCAGACGGGUAGACCUUCAGCUGCAGCCUAUACUGAAAACGAAGAGCGUGUCUGUGGGUGUGGCUUCUUUGGCUCAUGCUGCAGUGUGUGAUCCCUUGACCAUGGAAGGCUCUGUGUACCCAUGAGGACCUAGGGCGGCAAGCAGGCAUCAUGCCCACCUGAAGCCUUGUAUCUCUGCAUCACAUGUGGUGUCUUCCCUGGAUCCAUAGACAGCGCAGUUGAAAAAGACCUGACUUCAUACCUCAGCUGUCACUUUUGUCCCUCCAGAACCGUGGCCAUCUCUUGUGAUUGGUUCAGAAAGCUCCUGUCACCUCAAAAACUGGCUAACACAUCAGCGAACAUACAUGCCUGGCUAUCUUAGCCACGAGGGUCACCAAACUUGAGCAGAAGCGGUUUUAACCCUUCAGGAGCACCAGGCCAAGUGGAGAAGAUGGGGGGAUGUGUGAGGAGAAGGAAGCAGGGACUUCACACCAUCCACUAAACUUGGUUGUGAAAGAAGGAGAGGAGGCAGAGGCCAUGAACUCCUUCCUUCCCAUCUGAUCGAUUGAAAUGCCUUCUGCAUCCUGUUAGAUGAUGGCUCUUUAUAGAGCUGCUACUACAUCCUUUUAGAUGGAUGGCUCUUUAUAGAUGGAUGGAUGGAUGACAUUUUAUAAAGCUCCCUGCAUUCCAAUGAAUAGAUGGUACUUUAUGAAGCUCUUUGCAUCACGAUGGAUGACUCUUUAUUUUAAUGCUCUGCUAUUUAACACACUGAUUGCAGGAUUAAGUGUGAAAUGCUAAUAACAUUGAGUGUACCUCAUUGGUUUUUAAUUAAUUAAUCACUUACUCCAUAGCCACCAGUAAUCCUAAGCUAUACAGAGCAGUACUGAAAAUUGAAUUAGGAUUUGGUCUUACACAAAGUCAACACUUUUUGUUUGUUUGGUUUUGGCUUUUUUGAGACAGGAUCUUACAAUGUAGCCCUGUCUUGUCUCAUACUCACGAUGUAGCCUAUGCUGACCUCACACUCACUGUAAUCCUUCUGCCUCAGCCUCCUAAGAGUUGCAAUUACAGGUGUGUACCACUAGGCUCAGCUGAAGUCAAACUUCUGAAGUAACUCAAUAGGCUUUAUUUUUUGUAUUCUUUUUAGUAACCUACUUAUUUGUUUAGUGUUGGGGAAAGAGGCUGCUCACCCAACAGUGCAUACGCGUGGCAGUCAGAUGACAGCACAUGGGUGUCAAUUUUCCCUUCCCACCACGUGGGACCCUGGGAUAGAACUCAAGUGGGGUUCUCACAUGUUCUGUAUUAUGUGUGGCUAUCAACAACGCUGUCCCUUUUUGUUUUGUUUUGUUUUGUUUUGUUUAAUCUAGUGUGCUUUUUCUGUCCCACGAGCCUGUCCAGGACAUACUUGUCACACGUCAAAUCGUGCUGCUGUAACAGGACCACAGGCAGCAUGAUCCACAAUGAGCAGAUGGGUAUUUGUUCACAGUUAAGACUGAGAGGACACAGCUGCUGGAGACUUCUCCUGGGUCCUUGCAUGACAGAAGACACCAAGUGACCAGGAAGCACCAGUAAGGAGGAGAGGAUGGACUCACCUUUUCACCAGAAAUCUACCCCAUUCGGACACACUAGCAUGAGCCCAUUCAGGAGAGCAGAGUCUCUUGACAUAAUCUCUUAAAGUGGAAUACAGUCAGCCUUAGCAUAUCACACAUGACCAUCCCAUCUCCUCGAGUGUUUCUUGGUGAGGUUCUCAGGUUUCACUGUGCGUCAGGACCCUGAAAGCUUUGAGGAGUGGCCUACGUGUUUCAUAGUAUGGACCUACUAGACUUUGAUGUUCUCAUGAGGUAGGUAAAGUUACCAACCACUCUUGAAUUGCAUCCAGACUUCAUAGAAACAGUAUGACUUAUGAUGAUCAAGGAAGCUAUGAUGGGAUAUGCUCAGGCCUGUGACAGCACAGAGCCCUUCUUGGAGGGUAGGGAAUUUUCUUAUUUACUUGGAAUUCUUCCACAUGGUAUAUUGAUCUCUUCUCCAAUAUUUGAUAAUGUAUUUAGAUCGUAUGGACUAGCACAUAUUUGGGUUAUAACACUCUAUUUCUUGUGUAUGUUUGUGCCCAUGUGCAUUCAUGUGUUGUGUUGUAUCAUCCAUCUAGUUUUUCUGGGGCUGGUUCUCAUUAUCGGUCUUACUUUUCCGGCUAGGGUGGAUGGCCAGUGAUCCCAAGAGAUCCACCCAUUCCCCACCUCCACAGCACUGGGACUAAAAGUGCCUGUCACCAUGUCUGGCUUUUUAACCUGGGUUUGAGGGAUCGAGUUCAGGUUCCCAUACUGUGGAGCAAGCACUCUACUGAGACAUCUCCCGAGCCCUUGUGAAUUUCUGUUGUUUCUAUUCCUACACUGUCGGUCAUUGGUAGCUCUCCUGGUAUGCAUCCAUUGAGGAGAUUUUUUUCUCAGUUUUUGACACUUUCUGUUUUACACACACACAUACACACACACACACACACACAGAGAGAGAGAGAGAGAGAGAGAGAGAGAGAGAGAGAGACUCUUUAAUGUCUGAUGACUUACUGUAUAUGAUGGGUUCUCUAAUAUCCUUUCUCACCUUUUAUACUUGGAUGCUGCCUGCACUGAGUUGUGUAUCAGCCUGGUCUGGACUCCACCGGCCCCCCCCCCACACACAGGUGCCACCUUAUGAAGGAACUGAUACAUUGAAUGCUAUUUCCACAUCUGAAUAUGAACCACACAAAGCCAUCCAUAUUUAAUUUGUCUCAUAUAAUAUUUGUGUUUAAAAUUCUACUGGUCAGGAUCAUCUACUUGACUUUCUCAUUGGUUCUGUUUUAUUUCUAUGUGUAUUUCGUAGAUUCUGGAGUUAUUCUGUAUUUUUUUAGGUGAGUAUCACAUGUAGAGCAUGCAGUUGGCUCUUUGUGAGACAAAUUGAAAAUACUGGUUUGACUGAUAUCACUGAUCUCAGCUUGGUCAUAUUAUAUUGCUGUAUGUCCCACUAUGAAAUACUGUUGCAAGAAUAGUACUUACAUUGUUUUCUUUGCUCUUGGUGAUUUACAUGGUAUUUUAGAGGUUGUGUAUAGUGAUUUACUCUUAAAUGAUUGCUAGCUCCCAGUUGUCACAACUAUUGCCUUUUAAUAUCUUUCUAUCCAUGCUCUAAGAAAUAAGCAAAGUACCUUUGCUAUAUACAAAACGGCUACUACAAUUUGUUAGGUUUGUGUAGGAAAAUAAUUAGUGAGGAAUUUGAAUGUAUCUGACAUCUCAAAAAGCCAGUUACAAAGACAAGCUAUAUUCAUACUUCCAUAGUUGGUUCUCUUAGUAUGAAUAUGCAAAUGUAAUAAAAUUAAAAUCAAACUUCCAAGAGAAUUUAUUUGGUUUGCAAUUGAAUGAAUGGUUUUAAAAUUUGUAUGAAAUAUAAGCCUUGGGGAAAAACAAAGAAAUUCUUCUAAAAUCUAUUUAGCAGAUGUCAGCAAACACGCUAAAGCUGCUGGAGUCAACUCAAUAUGGGGUUGGCACCAAGAUAGAUAAAUAGAUUUGUUUAACCAAAUAGUAAAUCAAAUAACAUUAACCACACAGAAGUCAGAAACAGGUUUCAGUACCCAUGGGAUGAAAUAUUAAACACAAAUGGUAGUUAGCUCUUUGGAAAGGACUUCUCUAGCAAAUGAUGUUGGCCCUCUGCCUUUCCAGUGGCGCAGGGACACUAAGGAAUGUACAGGGGGCAACUCUCAGUCUGUCCUCAAAGGUCUCUUUGCAUGGGCAGGAAAGAAGUGACAAUGGCCAUGGGGAAAUUUUAUUAUGCAGUGUGAAAUUCUCUAUUUGGCAAACAAAGUGCAAAUUUGGUCAUGGAAAAUUGUAGUGUGGUAGUUUGAAUGUAACUGGACCCCCGUAAUCUCAUAGGGAGUGGUAUUAUUAGGACGUGUGGAUUUGUUGGAGUGGGGAUGGCCUCGUUGGAGGAUGUAUGUUUCUGCGAGGGUGGGCUUUGAUGUUUCUUAUGCUCAGGGUCCCGCCGGUGUCUCAGUAGAUUGCCUGGUGCCUGUAUAUCAAGAGGCAGCCAGCACUGUGUCUGCCUGCACGCUGUCAUGAUCCUCACCAUGAUGAUAAUGGACUGAACCUCUGAAACUGUGAGGGAGCCACACCAAUAAAUAUCUUCUUUAUAAGA